AACGCGAAGAACCUUACCUACCCUUGACAUGGAAGGAAUCCUGAAGAGAUUUGGGAGUGCUCGAAAGAGAACCUUUACACAGGUGCUGCAUGGCUGUCGUCAGCUCGUGUCGUGAGAUGUUGGGUUAAGUCCCGCAACGAGCGCAACCCUUGUCAUUAGUUGCUACGAAAGGGCACUCUAAUGAGACUGCCGGUGACAAACCGGAGGAAGGUGGGGAUGACGUCAAGUCCUCAUGGCCCUUAUGGGUAGGGCUUCACACGUCAUACAAUGGUACAUACAGAGGGCCGCCAACCCGCGAGGGGGAGCUAAUCCCAGAAAGUGUAUCGUAGUCCGGAUUGUAGUCUGCAACUCGACUACAUGAAGUUGGAAUCGCUAGUAAUCGCGGAUCAGCAUGUCGCGGUGAAUACGUUCCCGGGUCUUGUACACACGC
rnacentral:rRNA from 1 species